CGGUCAUGUAGGCAUUUAAAUAGUAUGGAAGGAAUGCCCCCACUCAUGCAAGAUCAUAGUAAACUGGAAAGAUGCGACAUGAGGACAGGAGAGCAGAUUCUGCAUUUAGAAGUAUGAAAAGAAUUCCCCCACUCAUGGAAGGAGAGCAUGGAAGUCAAAGCACAAUACAGCCUAAAGAAGAGAUUACUGCCACUGAGCAAGAGUUAUCAUUCCCAGAUUCAUCAUCACAGGUUUUGCAAAGAUUAAAAAGAUCAGAAGUUGUAUGUUUAACAGAAAGAGCUACACAAACCCAACAGAGCCAUGAAGCAACAAGAGAAGAAACAACACAAUCACAUUCACCACAAACACUAGAGAGACCAAAAAGCAGGGGGCAAAGGAGACAAGAAAAAAGAGAGAGAAAAUGCCACAUUUUGUAAUUAAAUAUAUUCUCUUAAUUACUACAGGUUUGUUGUGAUUAAACAUUUGUAUAGAAUAAGUCUUAUAUUAGUAUGACUAAUUGACCAU